rnacentral:lncRNA from 1 species
AUCCAAAUCACUUGUUACCUCAUAAAUCGAAUUCCUACACCUCUUCUUUCUCAUAAAACUCCAUACGAACGUUUUCAUGGCACCUCACUCACUUGCUCUCAUCUUCGAGUUUUCGAUUGUCUUUGUUAUGCCACCAUUCUUAAUCCUACCCGCACAUCGUUGUAUUUUUCUUGGGUAUCCACUUGGAUAAAAAGGUUAUCGUGUUUAUGAUCUUGACAAAAAGAAUUUUUUCACUUCACGUGAUAUUGUUUUCCAUGAAAAUACUAUUCUUUUUACCGAUUUCCCACAAGAAGACCAAGAAGAUUCACGAGUUUUACCAGUCAUUGAGCCUAGCCCAGCUCACUUGUUCUCUUCUCUUUCCCAGCCCACACCAACGGCCCACACUCCAACCCAAAAUCAAAACUUACAUUCUGAAUCACCCCCACUCGACAUAACCUGCUCAGCCCCAAUUCCCGUCGCCACCUCAAUCGCCAGUCACUACCACCGUCAUCUCGGCCUUCCCAACCCGUCCUCACCUACCAAUGCACCAGACGUGCGACAUUGACGUCUGGUCCUCAGCCGGAUUCCACGGCGCCUCCUCCGAUCUCUCCAACAUAACUCUUCCUCACCGGAAGCCAAGCCUCUAUCACCGUCAAUCCCAAUAUCACCGGCACUCCAAUUUCAGACCAUCAAGCUAUAUCUUCUCCAUCAAAGCCUCUUUUGACCUCCCCCUCGGUGGUUUUAGGAUGCUCCUCGUCUCCUCAGCCUCCUAGCCUGAUUCAGAGGUAAUGAAGUUUGGACCUUGUUAUGUAUUUGAGGAGAGCAGUGUGGAGUUUUCGUUUAGAGAAAAUUACAUAGUAGCACAUGACCAAAUUUAGAAUAACAAAAACCCCACUUCCAAUAAUUUUCUAACAGAUUACUACAUGAGCCUCGGGCCCAUGGUCCAUGGCACCAGGCCUGAUCCACAAACGCGUUUGCAAAUGACCAAAAAACCGUAGCGUUUCUUUUAAUUACAUGGAUGCCACUACGCAUAAAGGAUCUGAAAUUCCUAAUUUUGGUUCAGUAGCAAACACAGCGUCUCCUUCCUUCCGUCUCCUCUCACCGUGCCUAGGGUUUUCUCGCCUUCAUCUUCUUCAACCUCUCUCUGCAAUUCCUCUGGUAAGUGAUGCUACUGCUCUUCUUUCUCUCUCUGCUACUGUUCUGGUUCAAUUUCUUUUAUCGCCUUCUCAUCUCACUGAAAUUCCCANNNNNNNNNNNNNNNNNNNNAAUAGGGGGCUUAGACCUUGCUCUCAAAACCCAACCAUUGAAGCUCUCACAAGCAUUGUUAAUGAGCAUAUCACAGUCAUAACCAGCUGAGAAAAGGGUAAAUCAGUCGAGAAUUCAAAGUAUAGGGGUAUACCAGUUUUAAAAAAAAGUGAGGGACAAAACUGAUUUUAGGUGUAAACUACAGGGUGUCACAAACAUUUACUCCUUUUAUUUUUGUUGAAUCGAUUACCGUUGUUGUACUUAUCUUAUGUUAUGGAGUUUUGGCGGGUAACCCGGUAACCCCGGUAGAAGAGCUCUUCUCGAACUUAUGAGUUUUCUUAGCCCAAUUUUAACCAAUAUGUGUAGACAAAAAAAUGAUGUUGAGUUUAAUGUUCAAAAACACUGCUACAAGCCUACAAGUAUAGCAUAAUAGCAAGCAAAUGUAUGACGACAGGCUCCAAAUUGUAACAAGGUGUUUACAAGGUGUUCAUAUCACUUUCACAAUUUGUGAUGGUGAGUUCCAAAAACAAACUUGCGUAAUAAAUGAAGGGAAAAACGGUGAAACGUGAAAUACUUUAGAGAAAAUUACAUAGUAGCACAUGACCAAAUUUAGAAUAACAAAAACCCCACUUCCAAUAAUUUUCUAACAGAUUACUACAUGAGCCUCGGGCCCAUGGUCCAUGGCACCAGGCCUGAUCCACAAACGCGUUUGCAAAUGACCAAAAAACCGUAGCGUUUCUUUUAAUUACAUGGAUGCCACUACGCAUAAAGGAUCCGAAAUUCCUAAUUUUGGUUCAGUAGCAAACACAGCGUCUCCUUCCUUCCGUCUCCUCUCACCGUGCCUAGGGUUUUCUCGCCUUCAUCUUCUUCAACCUCUCUCUGCAAUUCCUCUGGUAAGUGAUGCUACUGCUCUUCUUUCUUUCUCUGCUACUGUUCUGGUUCAAUUUCUUUUAUCGCCUUCUCAUCUCACUGAAAUUCCCAAUUCUGGCUCAGUAGCAAACGCAGUGUCUCCUUCCUUCCGUCUCCUCUCACCGCACCUAGGGUUUUCUCGCCUUCAUCUUCUUCAACCUCUCUCUGCAAUUCCUCUGGUAAGUGAUGCUACUGCUCUUUUUUCUCUCUCUACUACUGUUCUGGUUUGUUUUUGGUCUUUGGUUUCGUUUUUGGGAGAAAACCAGUAGCAGUAACCUUGUUUCCUUCGAUAUCGAAACGAUUCCUAUGAUUUUGCUUUGAUUGGGAGAAAAUCAGUAGCAUCUUUCAUUUUAUGGAAGUAGCAGUACAGUUUGAUUUAUGAAAGUAGCAGGCUCUAAUGAUUUUAUGAAUGUAAUUGUGUUGAAGGUGGGGAAGCAGACUCUAAUGGUGUGAUUUUCACAUUUUACAGGACAGUAGCAGCUUUUGUACACAAAGAUAUGGACAAAAACAACAAGGUAAUUAUGUAUGAAUGUGCAUUUAAUUUGUAGUUGCUACUGCAUUAACUUGGAAUGUUUGUGUUUUUUGAAUUUGAGAAUGUGAGAAUAUGAAUGUGCUACUGUCUGCAGGUGCAAAAUGCUACUGUCUGAAAAUUGGUUGUAAUUAUACUAUUGAUGUGU